AUGUUUUCUUCUUUGCACACAUGGAUUCACAUGCAAGAAUGAUGACUUAUGCAUCUCAGUGCUUCCUUAAAUGCACGCUCUGUCCCACCCAAAGACACACAAAGUAAUGAUCAAAAAAAGAAGCUUCUAUUCCUUUGCUCUGGAUAGCCAAGAACAGGAGCCAGUCCUGUGCUUGUUUAUUUCCAGCAGCAGUUUUCUCUCUGGAGAGCUUUGUUUCAAAAUGCCCUUGAGGCUUAAAGCCAGUUCAUACAUUUCCCAGUUGUGGAGCUUCUAGAAACAGAAGCAACCUGCACUUCUGAUUCCCUUCUUUCAAUGCAACAUUUGUAACCCUUACAGGUCUCUGCCAGAUCGUAUCCCAAAGACCCUAUGCAUCCCCAGUGGGGGUCAGCAGUAUGAAUGGCAGGGCUGCUCCCCCGCCUGAGGCAAGGAGAGCUCCUUGCCUCCAGCAGCAAAAUCCACAAGUGUAGCAGAUCUGGCUGCCAAGGAAUUGAUAACCCAUUGUAGAUCUUCAUUCACCCCUUUUUCCCUGGUGGGGGAAGGGUGCCAUUUUGUGGUUUGCCUCAGUACCAAAAUGUCUUGGGCCAGCCCUGGUAAGUGGGAUGUGCCUCUACAGGCCCUGGAACUAAAGAAUACGUGAAUUGGCCACUGACAAAAAAAAGAGUGGCGCCUAGUGGAAUUCAUUCCAGCAGCAGGGCCAACCUUGAAGUUUCAGGGGUCUCUUGGCAACACUUGGUCCUCUUUCUCUGUAGUCAUUCUGCCAACUGUGGACGUCAAAUCAAACACAGCAGUUCAGAUGGUUGUCUCUUCCCACCCUGGUCCUUUUCAUUUAGCUGGCGCGGAACUCGUUGAGUUGCUUUGAACCUGAGCUUGGAGCCGAGCCCCCCAGAACAAAACCUAGUAACCAGUUCAAAAUAAGUGCUUCACCAAUAGUCCAAAGGAUCCUUUUGAGGCGGGUGAAUAGGGCCUUUCUCUUCUCUAACGUUAGGCAGGCAGGCCAAACUGAGGAGGAGGAGCAAAAAUAAGAGUUUGGGGAUUAUAGUUCUCCUGUAUCUUGCAUAUGCUUUGACCUGGUGUAUGAGGGCAAACAGUAAGGCUGUGUACACACCAUAUUUAUUUCUUUUGACUAAUAAUAGGGAAAGAGGCCAGGAGGGGGAGAGCCACACUAUACAUUUAAAACACGUCCCUUCUCUUAAAAAAAAAAUCCUGGGAGCUGUAGUUUGUUAAGGGUGCUGGGAAUUGAAGUUUCGUGAGGUGAAUACAGGAUUGUGAGAAAGCAUUCAGAGAAGUGGUUCCCUUUUUCUGUGUAAGCAUUCCAAUCCCAUAAGCCCUCACAUAACAGUGUUAUGCGUCCAACAAUGUAUAGUUUUUAAAGCUUCUGUCUUGUCUCCAGUUGUGCUAGGUAAAGCUCCCCCUCCCCAUUUUAAUUGUUUUUCUGUAUGUUUCUGAGAAUAGGUAGGGUGACUGGAACUAUAAUAGCAUUACAGAAGCCAACAAAUAAAAGAUGCCUGAAGUAAGCUAAAAAUAACAUAUAUAUAUUUUUCUGGGAUGGAAGUCAAUGUAAAAAGUAUGUUUGGAGAGUGAACUUCAUAAAGAUCUGGUAUGCAUGCAUGUGUUUAGGGAAGAAAGCAACCAUUUUCCUGCAUAAAAUAUCCCUGUAGUCAUGUUAUAAGAGUCACACUGCAAUUAUAUAGUUUUUUGGUGUGUGUGUGUGUGUGUGUGAGAGAGAGAGAGAGAGAGAGAGAAAAAACUGGUGCCAAACAAUUGCACAGGACAGAAUCACAGAGUUUAGAAAUGCUGAUUAACCUGAGCCAGAAUUGAAUCAAGUUUUAAAAAUAGUUUGACUCCCUGCUUUUUACCACUGUAACUCUCCCCCUUAAGUCAAGCCUCCCAGAUCACUUUGAAACCCCACCCUUGAGGAACUUGGCCCAUGGAGAUAGGUUAGAAACUGACGGAUGACAUGGUGAUACCAAAUUAAUGGGGAUAGUUAAAUUUCCAAGGAGCCAGAAGACAUUUGGAAGAGCUGAUUUGGCCCGUGGUCUUGAGGUUUCUCACCCCUGCCUUUAAGCCAACAUACUUUCAAUUUUUCCCUCAUUAUUUCCUGUGUGAGUUGUGGUGAUGCUUUUAAAUACUUCUUUCUAAACCACAUUGUGUUUCCUGUUUCCUAUCUAUUCUUUACCACAAGUGGUUUAUAGAAAUACGGUGGUUGAAACAGCUUCAAGUGACUGUAGUUGUUUAUGCUUAACUUGGGAAGAUUUUGCUUUGUUGUGAUUGUAAUCCCAUGUAAGAAUUAAGACUGACAGUAUUUUAAGGCUCUUCAGGAUGUCUCCUCACAUCUAAUUUCAUAAUUAAGGGUUAUUACGCUAGGACUGGAAGCAAAACCUGGGGGAAGAAAUCAUUUGACUUUCACCAAACCUGAUACAAAAAUAUGAAAUUGGAAUGUUCAAGAAGCUUUGCUUCAGAUACCACAUUACAGUGAGCGAUAUCAAGAGUUAGUCAUAGUCAGAAUAGGUCUCCUCUGAGCAUGACUUAGUUGGAUAUCACCCAAUGUGUUUUUAAUCUUUUAUCUCAGAAAACAGAUGCACAUACUUCCCAAGUUUUAUUUCUCAACACCCAAGGAUAUUUUGCUUUAUAGAGGCUAUAAAUGUAAUGGCAAACCAUAGUUUGCUUUAUGAGCAUGAGUAGCCUUGAUCUCAUGCAUCUUUUCCUCACCUUUUCCUGCACGUGAACGGAAUAGGUUAGAAGUUCCCAUUCCUGGCUUUGUGGCAAACUGUGGUUUCUCCUUUUGUCUGAAAAAGAAGUGAUGGUUUGCCACAAACCAGCUUCUAGACUUAUUCUUACAUGCACAGGAGAAGGAGAGGAAAGAAUGUAUGAACUCGAGACUGCUCACACACGUUCCCCACCCUGCAUUCUGAAGUGAUAACAUUGCAGGUCAUCUAACUUGUGAUGUCGAUGAGUAAGACGCAGCUCACCUUUUGGUAUGAGCAAUUGUCCAUAGUAAGUACAUAUGGAGGUAAUAAGAAUUCAGAACCUUAUUACUAUGAUUGCUGUUGAGCAAAGUACAUUAGCUAAUAUAUGAACCGUCGUUUGGCAGGAUGCACACACUGCAGAGCGCUUCAUAGGCGCUAACUAAAACACCCAUUUCAAUUAGGGAAAUAGGUUGUAGCUGGUGGUGGCACUAAAUACCUUCUGCUGGAAAAGAGGAGAAACUGGCGCACAAAUUUAUCCAUUCAGAUAUUUGAUACGUUGUUAUUUUAAAUGGGAGGCAUCGGAGCAGGAUUGUGUGCCUCCCAAGUGGAGUUGUUUUGUUAGGGUCAAAUUCUGUUGUCGGUUUCUCUCCCAGAAACCUUGCUGAUGUCAACAGAACGGCAGAAGUAUUAAAAAUAAAGUGGAGACUGUGUCAACAUUCAUUUCGCAAUACAUUGUUGAACAAUGCCAUCGCUAGAGGAAAUCUCCCGUUUCUUUGAACCAUGUCGCUGAGCAAUAUUUUUUGUAGGAAUCAUGAUAAUUCAGAACACACUGUUAACAGUGACAAGUCCUAUGUCUCUACUCUCCUUCUGCCUUAGCCUAGACACCUACUCAUGGCCUAUUGGCUCUUGCUAGAAAGCAACAUUCUUAGGGUUUCUUUCUUUCUUUCUUUCUUUCUUUCUUUCUUUCUUUCUUUCUUUCAACAGGUUUUGAGACCUCACAGAAAAAACAUAUAGGUAGUAGGCCUGAAAGUCAAAAAAAUAAAGUUAUAAAAUCACUUUCACAUUUAUCAUUUUCAAAUCUCAUUAUUUUUAGGAGCCCAUCAACAAAACUGAAAAUAGUAACAACAACAACAACAACAACAAUUUAUUAUUUGUGCCUUGCCCAUCUGGCUGGGUUUCCCCAGCCACUCUGGGUGGCUUCCAACCAAGAUUAAGAAUACAUUAAAAUGUCACACAUUAAAAACUUCCCUGAACAAGAGAACAAGGGAACAAGAGAAGCAUGUUGUCCCCAAGAUAUGAUUCUUGAUUUUGAUGGUAGGGAUGUCUCAGGUUCAAAUCCGCAAAUAAUAAUCCUGUGAAAGAGGGCAAAGAGAGCCAUACCCUUGAGGGCUGGUGUGAGGUUGCAUGGGCAGACAUGGAUCCUAAUCCUUACUCACCAUGAGGCACGCUGGUGAUCUUGCACCAGUCAUGAUCUCUCUACCUGACCUACCUCACAGGGUUAUUGUAUAACGAUAAAGCAUAGGACCCAUUCUAGAGAGUGACGAGGCUGGCCAUCUAUCCCAGCUGCAGUGCUUCUCAUGUAUGGAGUACCUAGGAAGUGGGUAGCAUGAGAAGAUCCCUCAUCCGCAUACAAAAAGUCAGUUUGCAACUCCAGGUUAGGCUGGAAAAGACCCCUGUUUGGAAACCUCGAAAGCCUCUCCAGAUCAGUGUAGGUGGUCCUGAACUUUAGGGAGCAAUAAUGUAGCUUGGUGCAAGACAGCUUCCUAUGUUCCAGUCUCUUGUCUUAAAGAUGCCUGCUCUGGGUUCCUUUAAGGAGCCUCCAAAAUUCUAGAGCAAGGAUGUUUUUUUUAAAAAAGAUGUCUUCUCAUAUGGCUGCUUUUAACCCCUUAGUAGAAGAUACAAUCUUGAUUAAAGUGUACCAGGUUUCAGUAGACGGGGAACCAUGUAGAACAGGGAGGGAGAACCUCAAGGUAGUGUAGGACUCCCAUCUGCUCCAGCCAGCAUAGCCCAUGGUCAGGCACGAUGGGAGUUUGAAGCGCAACUUCUGGAGAUCACCAGUUUCCUCAUCCCUGAUGCAGAGGAAGGGAGGGAGGUUAUUUAUGAAGUGGCACCAAAAUAUUUCCUUAACAGGAAGGUCCUAGUGUUAACCAGCCCAGAGUUCUAUAAAAUGCAUUGCAUUUGCCUGAGCUUUCAAACCAAGGUCAAAUGGCACACACAUCUUGCUUCUGUUUAAGCAUUUGGGAGGGUUUUGCCAACAGGCAGGGUAGGUGUGAAAUUCACUUCACUUCAGGUGAUAUACUUGCCUGGUUCAUCAUGGCACCUAGCUGGGUUUUUUCUCCCUCAGCCCUCCAUGCUCACGAGAGGCAUUUUCUGUAUACCUCCGGUGAAUGGAAGGCGCUGUGAGUGCGUUCUUGGAUAUGUAAUUAAGCUUUAUUGAACAAAGAUAAUGUCAAAUUCCAAUCGGAAUUUCUGCUUGCAGUUCAGAGUUAAAGGUCUGAGGCAGCUCUGCAGAUCAUUAUGCUUAUCUCCCAUGGCUAAUGCAGUUCUGCUCAGCCUCACCAGCAAUUCAUCUCUAAUCAGUCAGUCAACAUUCCCAACACGCGUACAGCAUAAAGAACAACAAUAACAAUACAUUUUUAUGGCUGCUCGGGUGCUGAGUGCUGCUCAAUCACUGUCCCCCUCUUAUGCAGAAGGGAUGGAAAGUGCUAGUAAAGUGAGCAGAGGUAUAUUGUUGCAUAUAAUUUCAAGCGACAAAAGCUAGCCCAGCUGUAGCCAUGGUUCAAAUUGCUGGAGUAUUGAAAGCUUAGCCUGCUGCUGAUGCCCUGUUUCCUUCUUGCUGCUUUCCCAUUUGAUUAAAACCUAACCUGCAAGAAAAGGACUGUACUUGGGAGAAAACCACAAGGUAUAUUCUCCAGUGCCCAGAAUAAAAUGAAGCUUAAUAAUAAGGAGCACAUGUUGCACCCACACAAUCUUCUCCAAAGUGAGUGCCUGAGCCAGCCAUUUGUUGAGUGCUCAAGGUCCUGUUGUGCAAAUUCUCCUCCCCAAGCUGAUAUUAAGGCUGGUCCUGUACAUGUUUACUUGGACUGGGGGGAGAGGAAUCUUUCUAAACUCAAUGAGGAAUAUUCCUAGGUACGGUUGCAGUCCCUUGCAUGCUUACCUGGGAUGUAGGUAUGUAUGUAUGUAUUAUUGCAUUUGUAUCCCAUCUCCAAGGAGCUCAAGGAGAGUCUCGCGCUCUACCGACUAAUGUUUUGGCUAGAUCCAUUCUCAACAAACCUGAAUUCUCAAAUUCCCUUUAAAUAAUAAUUACUAUUAUUCUGGAAGAAGUUAUCAGCAAUGAGGUUGAGUAAGAGCUAAAUGAAAGUGGUUUGGGGAAUACAGUGGUACCCCGGUUUGCGAACUUAAUCCGUUCCGGAAGUCCGUUCUUAAACCAAAGCGUUCUUAAACCAAGGUGCGCUUUCCCAUAGCAGCGGGGGACUCAAUUUACAAAUGGAACACACUCAACAGGAAGCAGAACAUGUUCUGCUUCCAAGGCAAAGUUCACAAACCAGAACACCUACUUCCGGGUUUGCAGCGUUCUUAAGCCAAGUUAUUCAUAAACUAAGCUGUUCUUAAACCAAGGUACCACUGUACUCUGCCACUGGCAAAACAGUCUUACCACAUAUACCACACAGAUAAUG